rnacentral:rRNA from 1 species
AGUCACUGACAUUAGAUACCCCGCGUAGUCCAGGGUGUAAACGCUGCAGACUUGGUGUUGGGAACCCUUCGGGGGUGCUCAGUGCCGGAGAGAAGUUGUUAAGUCUGCUACUUGGGGAGUACGUCCGCAAGGAUGAAACUUAAAGGAAUUGGCGGGGGAGCACCGCAACGGGAGGAGCGUGCGGUUUAAUUGGAUUCAACGCCGAAAAACUCACCAGCAGCGACUGUUACAUGAAAGUCAGGUUGAUGACCUUACUAGAUUUUCAG